GAUGAACGCUGGCGGCGUGCCUAAUACAUGCAAGUCGAGCGAACGGACGAGAAGCUUGCUUCUCUGAUGUUAGCGGCGGACGUGUGAGUAACACGUGGAUAACCUACCUAUAAUACUGGGAUAACUUCGGGAAACCGGAGCUAAUACCGGAUGAUAUUUUGAACCGCAUGGUUCAAAAGUGAAAGACGGUCUUGCUGUCACUUAUAGAUGGAUCCGCGCUGCAUUAGCUAGUUGGUAAGGUAACGGCUUACCAAGGCAACGAUGCAUAGCCGACCUGAGAGGGUGAUCGGCCACACUGGAACUGAGACACGGUCCAGAGUCCUACGGGAGGCAGCAGUAGGGAAUCUUCCGCAAUGGGCGAAAGCCUGACGGAGCAACGCCGCGUGAGUGAUGAAGGUCUUCGGAUCGUAAAACUCUGUUAUUAGGGAAGAACAUAUGUGUAAGUAACUGUGCACAUCUUGACGGUACCUAAUCAGAAAGCCACGGCUAACUACGUG
rnacentral:rRNA from 1 species